rnacentral:rRNA from 1 species
UACAGAGGUGGCAAGCGUUGUUCGGAAUUACUGGGCGUAAAGGGCGCGUAGGCGGUUCUGUAAGUCCCGCGUGAAAUCCCCCGGCCCAACUGGGGAACUGCGCGGGAAACUGUGGGGCUAGAGUUCAGGAGAGGGAAGCGGAAUUCCGGGUGUAGCGGUGAAAUGCGUAGAUAUCCGGAGGAACACCGGUGGCGAAGGCGGCUUCCUGGACUGACACUGACGCUGAGGCGCGAAAGCUAGGGGAGCAAACGGG